rnacentral:tRNA from 1 species
AGCCCGGUGGUGUAGCGGUCAAGCAUGCUGGCCUUUGGAGCCGGCGACCCUGGUUCGAAUCCAGGCCGGGCUA